AGCAGCCGCGGUAAUUCCAGCUCCAAUAGCGUAUAUUAAAGUUGUUGCAGUUAAAAAGCUCGUAGUUGAAUUUCGGGAUCAAUUAAUUGGUCGUGCCUCUGGUACGUACUGGUUUUAUUGGUUUCUCCCUUCUGACGAACCAUGAUGUCAUUAAUUUGGUGUCGUGGAGAAUCAGGACUGUUACUUUGAAAAAAUUAGAGUGUUUAAAGCAAGCUAACGCUUGAAUACAUUAGCAUGGAAUAAUGAAAUAGGACGUUUGAUCCUAUUUUGUUGGUUUCUAGGAUCGACGUAAUGAUUAAUAGGGAUAGUUGGGGGCAUUAGUAUUCAAUUGUCAGAGGUGAAAUUCUUGGAUUUAUUGAAGACUAACUACUGCGAAAGCAUUUGCCAAGGAUGUUUUCAUUAAUCAAGAACGAAAGUUAGGGGAUCGAAGACGAUCAGAUACCGUCGUAGUCUUAACCAUAAACUAUGCCGACUAGGGAUCGGAUGAUGUUAAUUUUUAAUGACUCAUUCGGCGCCUUAA
rnacentral:misc_RNA from 1 species